GGUAGCUCAGCCUGGUAGAGCUUCCGGCUGUAGACCGGAGUGUCGCAGGUUCAAAUCCUGCCCGCCCGACCA
rnacentral:tRNA from 1 species